GUUUGCCCGAACUCCAUUCACACCACGCAAAUCAAAGAAACCCAGCAUUCCCCUCUCCGUCAACAGGGCUCCUUCUCCUCUCCGUUGCACGAGCUCCUUCUUCUCCAUUCCUCACCUACAGCUCCACCGCCGGCCACCCUAACCGCCGGAGCUACCUUCUCCUUCUUCUCCUCUUUUUUAAACAAAGCAAGCUCCGUGUCUUUCUCGUUCGCAGAACAAAGCAAGCUCAAGCUCCACCACCGCCGUGCCUCUCUCUCUCCUUUUAUCCCCCUCAGUUCUGGCUCGCAUACCUUCGCGCAAGCCCUAGCUCCGUGGUGACCAAAAUCAGUUCCACCAGCCGCGGUUCCACCUCUCUCUUUCCCCCUGUUCGAACCGAUAAGGUGCGUGAACUAGGGUUUUGGUUUUGUGGCAGUGGUUGUUCAUCUAAGAGCCACUGGCGAUGCUCCUAUUCUCAAGCAAUCUAAAUUCAAGGUUCAGUGCUAGUUUGCUGAGGUCAACGCUGCUUUUGGAGCUUAAGCGGCAUCAUGGAGAUCAUCUAGUACUAAGAGAGACUCAUGAGAAUGAGGUUCUUUUGGAGCUGCAUGGAGCGAGUGACUUCAUGGUGCUUCAUGGGACAGUUCCUCAUUUGUGCAAUUCUGGUGCUUGACGUGAUGCUGAAGGUUUCUGCUAAUUCAGAAGGUGAUGCCCUGAAUUUUUUGAAGAACAGAUUGACAGAUCCUGCUGGUGUUCUUCAAAGCUGGGAUUCCACUCUUGUCAAUCCAUGUACAUGGUUUCAUGAUACUUGCAGCAAUGAUAAUAGUGUGAUCCGUGUGUAAGUUAUACAUACAUCACUUUUACUUUUACUUUUAUAGCCGUUUGUGUAUGCUUUGAUUUACCUUGAAUUAUGACUCCACUAGGCAGCUUCAAAGUCCUAGAUGCUUCACAUAAAGAACAAUAAAUCACAUAUCACAAUACAUUAAUAAUUUUUGUCAUUUCACACAAACAAGAAAUUAAGAAUCAAUAUGAAGAGAGACAGAAACCUUAUAACUUCAGGUUCCUUCAUUUCUGGCAUAAUUAGCGCAGCAAAAGCAAGAGAAGCUUUAUAAAUCAAAUGGUUAAUACCCAGAAAAUGCAGAACUAGCCUUCUGAAAAAUCUUCUCUCUAUUAUUGCUCUGAGACUAUUAUUUUCUAAGCCUUUAGGUAUAGCACAUUUGAGAUUUGCAUUCUCUAUGCACCUGGAAUUUUUUUUGUAAGGUUUGAAGCAACUAAAUAUUAUCUGUAUCCAAAGGACAAAGCUUAUCAUGUUUGCUUUUUUUUUCUUUUUUCUUUUAUUUUAUUAUUUCUUGUCUGUAUACCUGGAUUUUGGCCUCUACUAUGGAGGGAUAGAUAAGGUGCACUCAGGUGAGUUUCUGUAUACUACUACACCACCAACAACUUUUGAGGAUAACAAUAUUGUGAUGAUGAUGCUUUUUCUAACCAUUCAUUCCUUUGGAGUUGGAAUUUUUGAUUCACCUUGCAGGCCCUAAAUCCCUCAUACACUAUGCCAAGUUUCAUAAUUAUCAGUACAAGUAUCCUUGUUUUUGUUUACAUCAUAUAUAUAUAUAUAUAUACUAUAAUAUAUAGUAAUUAAUUAUACAAUUCGACCAUACCACAUGUCACUGGUAUUAUUGUGGAACGUGGCCAAGUUUUUUUAGUGCUAUUUUUUUUAGUCUAAUUAAUAGCACUUUGAUCCGGCCCUCUCCCUUAAAGAAUACCAACAAUAUCGGAUAACAUACCUACUUAUGAUUUCUAUUCUUGUGAUAUGUAUUUGUACUAGUACUAUAUUAUGAUGAUUUGUACUUAUGAUAAAGUACUAUAUUGUAAACUAUAUACGUAUACUUUUUUGUUUAUAUUAAGUUAAAUCUAUAAUAAAUGCAUAGAUAUUUGUAUGGUUUGGUGUAGAGCUUAGUUACUAUCCAACAAGAUUGUGUGUGUCUCUCGUGUCUCUCUGUAUAUAUAUGAAAAACGUUAGGAGUCAUUUAUUUUUAGUACUUAUGCAUGCAAAUUUUCCCAAAACAUAUGGCAAUUGGCAGUAGGCUCUCCAUUAAUGCUCAUCAUUUUUCUUGAGAAAAAUCUAGAAUUGAGUUUAUAUUAAGAAUAUAACAUUUUGUAUAUAUAAAACCUUCUAAUUUUUACCACUUUUCUUUCAGAUUAGAGAGAUUCGCCAGAAAUAUGAUAUGGUGACCUACCUGUUGGAGUAUAUUUACUAUCCUGACCAAAGAGGAAUUGCCUAAUAAUCUAGUCAGACUAGAUAUGCUAUUUCAAAAGGUAGUGGAGUUUGGAAUUGAGAUACAGGGUGAAGUUUAACAGAUCGAAGUCUCUCAACAUCCUUCCCAAAAUUAGACAAAAGAUCAGAAUGUAUCCUGUGUUGCUGCAGAUAGAGUCAAGGGAAGAGAACUAAACUGGGAGAAGAGAUAUGACACUAUCAUUGGGACAGCUGAAGGAUUGGUUUACCUGCAUGAGAAUUCAAAAACUAGGAUAAUUCAAAGAGAUAUAAAAGCCAGCAACAUCUUAUUGGAUGCUAAACUUCGCGCCAAAAUUAUAUGUGGUAAUAAAUCUUGUUUCUUUUUAUUUUCUUAUGAUUAUGGAAUGUCAUAAAAUACUAAAGAAUUUUUCAUCGAGGUGCAGAAGUGUGGCAGCAUUCCAAUUAAGUCAUGGACAGCAAUUACUGCAUGUUUAAGUCAUGAAACAGUAUCUAUGCACAGAUACAAACUGUUUUCUUUUAUGUACAAAUGAGAUUUGAAUGAGUUCCUGCAGGAAAGUAUUUCCCAAGACAAGAAGAGAAGUCAUGCUGGCUUUGUAUUUAAAAGACUCCUCAACACUCUUGUCUGUUUCAUUUGUUGUUUUCUCUUUUAUAUUUAGGCUAAUUCUGAUAGUGGUUAGCUACAAGAGCAGAUUGUUUUAUACACCUUUAGUGUAUGCUACAGUACAGAUUUUACAGGCUAAUUCCCUGAAUGUAGACAACCGCUACCCGAAAGCUAUUCGCCUCCGGCAGAUGAACCUUGGACGACUGGGAUCUUUGGAUGCACUGAAGAUAGGGAAAGUUGCUAGAGUGGAUCCAUGACCAUGAAUUCAUUGAGUACUGACUAGUUGGCAGAAACUGAGUUGCAGAAACCGAGUUGCAUAGACAUUUGACAGCAUAACAUUUUCAUAUUGUACUGAUCAUGGCAAGAAGUGUAGCCCUUUUCCAAUUGCAUUAAGAGAUAUAAAGCAACACGACAUUACUCAAAGCAUGCGCGGGCUACUGGUUCAUUGGCUUGUAGAGAUUUGCAUAAUGUAAUUUUUUUCAUAUAAUACAAUGUUAUGAAUUAUAGCUGAUAAAUUUAGUACGGUUGAACAAUACACUGAGGAUUAUAGUUGAUGUAUCAAUACAUUUUGUUUAUAUUUUGAAUUAUAUUGACUUGCUUGUU